rnacentral:rRNA from 1 species
GGGUAGUACUUUUUAAGAAACCUAUAUAUUUUGACGGCCCCUUUUCUAAUCACAGGAACCCGUUAUCCAUCGACAAUACCCGCUCAUUUUCACUUUUUUUAGCUUCUAUACCGCCGUCUUAAGGAUUUACUAUAAAUUAUUAUUCUAAACAGCUUCCCACAACAAGUCAGGUCAAGGUGGAGCAAUAAAAAAGUUUAUAUCGGGUUAUUCAUUAAUUUUUAUUAAAAGAGAUCUCCUUCAAAAAUCAAUUGAAUUAAGAUCUGAUAGUACUAAAUAUUUAAUAUAUAUUUAAGAAUUAGUAAAAAGAGGUGC